GCAGUGGUGGUUCAUUGGUACAACUCUCACCCUCCGUGCAGAAGACCUGGGUUCAAUUCCCGGCCAAUGCA
rnacentral:tRNA from 1 species